rnacentral:misc_RNA from 1 species
UACAGAGAGUGCAAGCGUUAAUCAGAAUUACUGGGCGUAAAGCGCACGUAGGUGGAUACCUAAGUCGGGUGUGAAAGCCCCGGGCUUAACCCGGGAAUUGCACUCGAUACUGGGUGUCUAGAGUAUGGUAGAGGGAAGUGGAAUUUCCGGUGUAGCGGUGAAAUGCGUAGAUAUCGGAAGGAACAUCAGUGGCGAAGGCGACUUCCUGGACCAAUACUGACACUGAGGUGCGAAAGCGUGGGGAGCAAACAGG